rnacentral:lncRNA from 1 species
AUAUAUAUAUACGACGGGCUUCUUUCAGUUUUCUUCUACCAAAUCUGCUCACAAGGCUUUGGUCAGCCCGAAGCUAUACCAGAAGACAGCUGCCCAAGGUGCCACGUAGUGGGACUGAACCCGGGAGCAUGUGGUUGGUAAGCAAGCUUCUUACCACACAACCAAAUAAUAUACAUGUAUAUAUAUAUAUAUAUAUAUAUAUAUAUACAUACACACACAUAUAUACCGGAGUAAACACAUAAAUGUGAAACAAGAUGGAAAAAAGAGUACUCAAAUACCAGAGGUAGAGUAAUAUGCUUUAUUUAAUUUAACAAAAGCUGUUACUCGGAGUUUCACGCUCCCAUUCGUCGGACAGUUUUGUUAAAAUAGAACCGAGAUCUUGAUCGAAUUGUCAUCUCAGUUCUACUUUAACAAAACUGUCCGACGAAUGGGAACGUGAAACUCCGAGUAACAACUUUUGUUAAAUUUCUGCUGCUUUUAAAUAAAGUAUAUAUAUACAUAUAUAUGUGUAGCGGGGUAUGUACAUAUAUAUAUAUAUAUAUAAAUUCAGGGUGAAUACUUGAUAAAUGUAAGCACCUGUAUAAGCCAGCUAGUAGCAUAGGUGAGAGGACAUAUGUAUCAAAUGAAAUAAAAUGAAGAACAGGACACAAAGGAUGUCGCGGUACACAUGUUUCGAGCUUUUAUAAAAUAACUUAUUUUACAAUAUAGAGUCUAUAUUGAGUGAGAAAACGGUAUGGACGGGUUUUUGGAGUUUAAUAAUACCCUGUACACCUAUUUGAUUAUGAAGAUUUACAAACAUACUUUCUAAGUGAUACUCGGUUUACCUACCAUUAGAAAUAAUACCAAAUGUUCUUUCUCAAACCUUUCAUAAUGUGAUACAAGUCUUUGGUGUAGCAAUUGCAUGCGGCUGAAGAGGGAUUUAUACAAUCUGUUAUGUCGAUUAUACAUUGAUGUAAGAAUAAGUUGUUUUAUAAAGCUCGAAACAUGUGUACCGCGACAUCAUUUGUGUUCUGUUUUUUAUUUCAUAUAUAUAUAUAUAUAUAUAUAUAUAUAUAUAUAUAUAUAUAUAUGCAUAGGCACAGGAGUGGCUGUGUGGUACGUAGCUUUCUUACCGACCACAUGGUUCCGGGUUCAGUCCCACUGCGUGGCACCUUGGGCAAGUGCCUUCUACUAUAGCCUCGGGCCAACCAAAGCCUUGUGAGUGGAUUUGGUAGACGGAAACUGAAAGAAGCCCGUUGUAUAUAUGUAUAUAUAUAUAUAUAUAUAUAUAUAUAUAUAUAUAUGUGUGUGUGUGUGUGUGUGUGUGUGUGUGUGUAGGCAUGUAUGUAUACAUACAUACAUAUAUGUGAACAUAUAAACACCUGUCACUAUACACAGGGCCUGACAUGCACGCCCAGAGCCACAUACAUAUAUAUAUAUACAUAGGUAUACAUUGCCAGGAAUCUACCUGAGCAAAUAAGUAAUCCCGGAUCUGAUCCCUGUAGAUGGCGCCUUAAGUAUGCAUCGUCUCAACCACUGAGAGGUUCACCGAUGCUCUUAGAUCGAAUAUUGAUCUCCAGAAAUUAUUGGGAAACUGGAAUACAUUGCUAUAUAUAAACGUACGUAUAGAUAGGCAGAGACAGCUAUCUAUCUAUAUAUUUAUAUAUGUGUGCGUUUGUGUAUGUGAAUGUGUAUGUAUAUGUAUGUGUUUGUUUAUAUGUAUAUGUGUGUGUGUGUGUGUGUGUGUAUGUGUACACGCACACACACACACACAUAUAUAUAUAUAUAUAUAUAUAUAUACAUAUGUAUAUGUAUAUAUAUAUAUAUAGGUAUAUACAUAUGUAUAUGUAUCUAUAAAUAUAUUUUUAAGUGCAUAUAUACAUGCAUAUAUAUAUGUAUGUAUGUAUAUAUAUGUAUGUGUGUAUACAUAUACAUAUAUAUAUAUAUAUAUAUAUAUAUUAUAUAUAUAUAUGUAUAUAUAUGUAUGUAUAUAUAUAUAUGUAUAUAUAUAUAUAUAUAUAUAUAUAUAUGUAUAUAUACAUAUAUGUAUGUAUAUAUACAUAUGAAGAUAUGUGUAUGCAUAUAUGCAUACACCCAUCUAUAUAUAUAUACACAUAUAUCUAUAUACAUAUUUGUUGUAUGUAUAUGUGUAUAUAUGUGCGUGUGUGUGUGUGUGUGUAUGUAGAUAUUUGCAUAUAUGUAUGUAUGUAUGUAUGUGAAUGUAUGUAUGCAUAUAUGUAUAUAUCUACGUAUGAAUAAUGUAUGCAUGUAUGUGUCGGAGGGGUGGGACUGUGUAAUAUCUUCACGGUCUAAUAAACCAAUGUUUAUCUUUAUGCCCCCGUGACUCAGCUGUCCGACCUGAGAAAUCGAUAAAGUAAUGCUGGCAUCAAAAAAAAAACUAAAGACUGCGGUUCCCUCUUACCAAUUAAGCAUUUUAAUCUUCUGCUCCAGCGUGGCCGUUCUCCAGUGAGUCAAACCAAUAAAACAGUACUGAAUAACUGCCGGCAACAUACAGAUUGCAAGAGAGAUUGAAUGUGUGUGUGUGUGUGUGUGUGUGUGUGUGUGUGUGUGUGUGUGUGUGUGUGUGUGUGUGUGUGUGUGUGUGAAUGUGUGUGUGAAUGUGUGUGUGUGUGUGUGUGAAUGUGUGUGUGAAUGUGUGUGUGUGUGUGUGCGUGUGCUUGUGAGUGUGCUUGUGUGUGUGUGUGUAUGUAGGUAUGUAUGUAUAAAUAUAUAUAUAUAUGUAUGUAUAUAUAUAUAUAUAUAUAUAUGUCGGUGUAUAUUUGUGUGUAUACUAUAUAUAUAGUAUAUAAAUAUACUACACACACAUAUCAAUGUGUGUGAAUAUACAUGUAUAUGUGCAUACACACACACACACACACACAUAUCAGCACUCAUAUAUUAGUGUAUACGUGUGUCUUUAUAAUUACAUAUAUACAUAUGUACAUGUAUGUAUGUACGUUUGUAAGUGUGUAUAUAUUUAUAAAUGUAUUUAUAUCAUAUAUGUGUGUGUGUAUAGAUACAUAUACAUAUAUAUAGACAGACUGAGAGAUUGAUAGAGUGAGAGAGAGAGUGAGAGAGAGAGUGAGAGAGAGAGAGAGAGAGAGAGUGGGGACACAAAGAAAGAAAGAAAGAAAGAAAGAAAGAAAGGAAGAAAGAAAGAAAGAAAGAAAGAAAGAAAGAAAGAAAGAAAGAAAGAAAGAAAGAAAGAAAGAAAGAAAGAAAGAAAGAAAGAAAGGGAAGACUACAUAUCGAGUGUAGCGGUACACUAGGCGCGAUCCUGAAACGACGGGAUUUGAAAACUGUUUAAGCAACCACUAUGAGAUAUCGACAGAGUGUUGAAUGUGCUUUCACAUGGACGCUCGUAUUGCCAGAAAUAACAGCCAAAAACCUUAAAUAUCGAAAUGACACAUUGGUGUGAUAAGUAUGUCUAAAAGGGCGUGUUGGUCAUGACUGGAACUCUUUUGAUCGUUGUUCUGCUUGAUCCGGGCUGACCUAGGGCGAAACAACAAUAUCACUCUAUUAAUCCAUACUCCACAACCACAACAACAACUAUACCUGGAACCAAUGAGGUCACUUGACCAUCAAGAAAUAGCAGCCUUCUACUUCACCUUCCACUGUUUCUGAGAAAGUCGUGAAGGCAGAGUCCUCAGGCACAAGAUCUUGCCUCAUGCAAUCAUUAUUACACCCUCUGACUGGACUUCCAAGCGUGACCCACUGCGACUACGGAUAUUUUCUAACCACUUCGUUCUUGGUUUACCCCCCCCCAACCCCCGCCUCUCCGUCUCCUGCUGCUUGUUUUAGCUUGAAGAAUUUGUCUUGCGAUAACAAGGACGCCGUUCGGGCUCGAAACGUUGACCGUUAUGAAAAACCUCCCCGAGGAAUGUGAAGACGCAGGCUGGAAAGCAGGGGAAUUUCCAGUCGAUGUUGGAUGUAGAGGAAUCGUUGGAGACACAGUGUGAGGCGACUGUUUGUUAUCGUUAGGCCCAACUCAUUGGAAAACAAAUUCCACCAUGAGUGACGCCCAGACUACAGUGGAGAAGGCAAACCACUGGAAUUGGUUAAAAAGGGACGACAAACAAUGGCUAGAAGAAUAUUCUUUUCUUUUCUACUCUAGGCACAACGCCCGAAAUUUUGGAGGAGGUGGGGGCCAGUCGAUUACAUCGACCCAGUACGCAAUUGGUACUUAAUUUAUCGACCCCGAAAGGAUGAAAGGCAAAGUCGACCACGGCGGAAUUUGAACUCAGAACGUAGCGGCAGACGAAAUACGGCUAAGCAUUUCACCCGGCGUGCUAACGAUUCUUAUUUCUUUAUUGCCCACAAGGGGCUAAACAAGGACAAACGGAUUAAGUCGAUUACAUAAGUGCGUAACUGGUACUUAAUUUAUCGACCCCGAAAGGAUGAAAAGCAAAGUCGACCUCGGCGGAAUUUGAUCUCAGAAGUUAACGACAGACGAAAUACCUAUUUCUUUACUACCCACAAAGGGCUAAACACAGAGGGGACAAACAAGGACAGAGAAACGGAUUAAGUCGAUUAUAUCGACCCCAGUUCGUAACUGGUACUUAUUUAAUCGACCCCGAAAGGAUGAAAGGCAAAGUCGACCUCGACGGAAUUUGAACUCAGAACGUAACGGAAGCCGAAAUACCGCUAAGCAUUUCGCCCAGCGUGCUAACGUUUCUGCCAGUUCGCCGCCUUAAUGGCUGAAAGAAUAUUGAGCAAAACCUAAUAACCAGUUGAUCUAGCAAGUGGGACCUAAUUUCCAUGAGGGUAGGGAUGGGGGCCAAUGCGCAAUGAUGCCUCCGAGAGACAAGUGUGGUUAUCUCCUCGUUACAUAGCGGUUCGGCAAAAGAGACCAAUAGAAUAAGUACUAGGCUUGCAAAGAAUAAGUCCUGUCGUUGAUUUGUUCAACUAAAGGCGGUGCUACAGCAUGGCCGCAGUCAAAUGACUGAAACAAGUAAAAGAAUAAAAGAAUAAAAUAUGCCCGUAGUACCAGAUCUGUGACCUUCCAAUGCAGAAAAUAGGGGUUCGAUUUGGGGACACAUGUCCGGAAAAUUCACCGUAUAGACAACGAUAAAGCAUAUUUUAUCAACAAUUUUUUUUUAAAUAAAUAAGUCUUUAUUCAACGUCAAACAUUAAAAAAUAAGUGAUGAGGUCACUUAAAACAAAAUUUCUUAGGACGAAUUUUCAUAUGGCAAAGAUGUUUACAAUGAAAUUACCUAUAAUCAGCUGAAGAGAGCAAGAAGUCUGGACAAGCAAGGGGCUUAGGUAACAGAUGAUUCCAGAAAAUUUGCCGUAUGGGCAAUGAUAAAGUGUAUAAUGUCGGUAUUUUUUUAAAGUAAUAAGAAAAACGGUUGAUAAAAUCUCUCUAUAUAUAAAGCUGAAGUUGUCUGUGUAUGGCAGGUUUGGUAGCCUUCAACUAACAGUUUCUCCUCCGAGACCCUGCGGCGCAAGUUGACCAAAAUUGAGAGUAUGAUAGAAGAAGGCUUAUUAAGGUCAAAAAUUAUUUACAUCAAAAAGGUGCUUUUUUUCUAUGAAAAUCCCUAUUUUUUACGAUUUUUAUUUUACUGCUGUGUCACCAUUUUUCGGUGUAUUUCAACCAGAAAAAUGUUCACGUAAAGAGAAUAACAAGCUACAUAAUGCAACAUUUUUACUUUUCAAAAAUUCCAAUUCUAAAGGGACGAAACAAACCCGAGCAACGCUGGGCGAUACUGCUAGUGGUUUAUAAAAGCGUUAAAUAAGCAGGGGGUUUUUUUCAGUGUCAAAUAUCUAAGGAAAAAAUGUGAGUGAGUAAUUUAAAACGAAAUUUCUUACUCGAAUUUUCAUACGGCAAAACAUUUCUUAUAGCCCGGAAGAGACUCUCUGAUCUUCGAGAUACGCAGCCUAUCAUUUAACGCGCCUGCAGAGGUGCUUUGGAGGAACCCCACUACUAGUAUACAAAUGUAGAAGAUGGCUACUGAUAUCUUAUAUUCCCUGCACUGAAGAAAUUUACAAAAUGGCCACGGUUCAAAGUGCCUUUCAUCAAAAUCUGCUCAACAGCAACACGGUAUCAAACCCAAAAGGGAGCCUAUAGCACGAUCUGCUAGACAUAGCAACCAAAUAAUCUUCAAAUUAUUCAUAAGCCAUCGCCUUAACAAAAAACAAGAAGGAAAGUAAAUAUCGCAUAGUGUGCUGCCGGUUUAUUUAAUUUAUUUUCACGCAUAAGAAAAUGACGGAACACCUGUGGUUAUAGAUCUGCUCUAAUUGGAUUAACCUAGGGCGAAACAACAACAACACCAUCUCUUUCAAGAUGGAAGUCCUAAAGAACAAAGUCAAAUGUCUGCAAUAGUGUAAAUUUCACUAAAGGCACCUUGCGAUCGAGCACUAGCGGUGGUGGUAUUUAUAGAGACGACGGAUUAAUAGUAACCGGGACGAUCUCAAUUUUCCUUCCUUCUUUCUUUCGAUGAGCCUCAUUCUACUGAAAUUUCCUUCAUGAGGUGGGGGGGCUUCGUUGGUCCCCGAAGUUCUAUAAGAAAGACACUUAUCCAAGAUGCCGCGUAGUGAGAUCGACUUAAAUAACAUCGUGCUUGGAAGACAAACGUUUUAGUCACGCAGUUGUUCUUCACCUUCAUGGCAGAUUUAGCAGCACAGAGGGUUGCCCAAAACUGGAACAUCUAAAAUAAAACCUAUUACUCUUCGGAAGUUCUGCUGGCCUAUACCGACAACUCUCUCUCUCUCUCUCUCUCCCUUUGUAUAUAUAUAUAUAUAGAUAGAUAGAUAGAUAGAUAGAUAGAUAGAUAGAUAGAUAGAUAGAUAGAUAGAUAGAUAGAUAGAUAGAUAGAUAGAUAGAUAGAUACACAUAUACACAUAUAUAUUUUUUUUUCUUUACUACCCACAAAGUGCUAAACACAGAGGGGACAAACAAGGACAGACAAACGGAUUAAGUCGAUUACAUAGACCCCCAGUGCGUAACUGGUACUUAAUUUAUCGACCCCGAAAGGAUGAAAGGCAAAGUUAACCUCGGUGGAAUUUGAACUCACAACGUAACGGCAGACGAAAUACCGCUAAGCAUUUGGCCCGGCGCGCUAACGUUUCUGCCAUAUAUAUAUAUAUCUGUCUGCCUAUUUAUCUCCCCCCCCCCACUCUCUCUCUCUCUCUCUCUCUCUCUCUCUCUCUCUCGUGGUGGUAGUGGUAGCGAAUACCGAAUUUAAUAUUAGCCUGUCUAACUGUUAAAGGGAAGUUACUUGCGAACCAACUGGCGCCCUCUUCAGGGAGAAAUUUAUUUCUCGUCCUUGUAAUGCCACUGAAGCUGUUAAUCUUAAUUACCCAAUUAAUCACUCCAAACGCACUCCUUUUAUGAGUAGUUUAUAAGCAGAUUAAAGCAGAUUCCACGAAUUUUUAGAUUUACCGUUUAUCAACGACCAACAAAUGGCUACAUGGAAACAGAAAGCACAAACAUGAAUAAAAUAACAUGGAGAAUAUACAUGAAUAAUAACAAUCACACAGGGAACAGGUGUAAAGACGGACAACAGACAUGGAUCAUAAAUUUGAAAGGUAUACAGGAAUAAUAAUACAUGCGUAGAGCAAAUGUAUGGACGGGCCUCAAACAUGAAGCGCAAAACAUGGAGUGUACAUACACGAAUAUAAACACUCACACAUGGGUGUAAGGACGGACAACAGACAUGGAGCACAAACUUGAGGGACAUACAUGGUGGGGGGGCUGACAGAUGAAACAUAAUCAUAGGCCGUGGAACCCAAAAUUAGCAUACAUACAUACAUACAUAUAUACAUAUAUACAUACAUAUAUACAUACAUACAUACAUACAUGAUGAUUGUCUACUCCUCAUGCAGAGUUUGACCACCUCCUGCACCUGCACCUUAGCACCAUCGUGGCAACUAGUGUAUAUUUUUAAACCAGACAAUGUCCUGAAAAGACACCCACAUAGAUUGCACCUCCGAUUUGGACCACCAAGAGCCGGAGAUAAAUUCUGCACUUUGUGGAUCUUAAAAUGUCUCUUGAAACAUACAUACAUACAUACAUACAUACAUACAUACAUACAUACAUACAUACAUACAUACGCACGUACAUACAUAGAGCAAAACCGGUAAUCUCUAACAUGGAUCGAAAACAAGGGUUCGAAUAAACAAGGGAACCUCAACGCAACCAUUCGAUCUAUGAGCAAUAGCAGCCAUAUCUUCUACGUAUCAUAUCAUAGAAGAAUUCUUUGAAUACAACCUGGAAGGUAAAAUCACAUCAUUGUCUGGAAUUUUGGUAAAAAAAAAAAAGCUGUAAAUCCAUUCAAGAAUAUUGUAAGCUACAUCCUCUCUCUCUCUCUCUCUCUCUCUCUCUCUCUCUCUCUCUCUCUCUCUCUCUCUCUCUCUCUCUCUAAGGAAUCAGCAAGCAUUAAGAUGCCCAUACAUCUGACAUUAGGGAUCAUAAAGGAAACCAGUUUAAAACACUGCGCAGAAUCCCCUUUUAGGGUUGUCUGAAGGGCGAGGUUUUUAUUGUAUUUUGGGACAUAAAUGUUACCUCGACUCAGAUAUAAAACCCAUAUAUAUAUACCCCUGGUUGUGUUUUCGCAACGCGAAACCUGCUCCUACUUGUUUGGACAUGAACUCGCCGAGAAACAUCUGACUGCGCAUACGAAAUGCUUAGUAGGUAGUCGAUACCCGCAGCUAACAGUUGCACACUGUCCUUCUCUUCCAGAUUAUGAAAGUUUACCAUGUUUAAUAUAAAUACAGUGAAAUAUGAAGAUCUCGCUUUUUUUAUGGGCAUAUAUGGGUUAAGCCCUUCACAGAGGUUCCUUUGGGGAUUCUUUGAGAGGCGAGAUUUCUAUAUUAUUUUGAGAAUUUUAACAGCUGGUGAAGGUGCGUGGCCCAGGGGUUUGUGGUUUUGAUUUCCGGACCGGAUAGUGCGUUGUGUUCUUGCGCAAAACACUUCAUUUCCCGUUGCUACUCUUUUCUCAGCUGUAGACGAGUAUCCCUGCAAUCGACUGAUACCCCGUUUAGGGGGAAAUAUUGUCUCGGUCACCUAUACACCAGGGAAACCACAUGGUUCUGGGGUGAGUCUCACUACGUGACAUCUUGGGCAAGUGUCUUGUAUUAUAGCCUCGGGCCGACCAAAGCCUUCUGAGUGGAUUUGGUAGAGUAAAACUGAAAGGAGCCCAUCGUAUAUAUGUCUGUGUGUAUGUGUGCGUGUGUAUGUGUGUCUGUGUCCCCCCCCCCCAUUGGUCCUAUGAAUAGUAGAUCUCGAAACAUUAAGGUCCAGCGGACAUACUUAACUACCCUAAUCUAGAUUUAAUCACUGCACAGAAGUUUCUUUUAGGGUACUCUGAGCAGUUAAUUUUCGAUAUCAUGUUAAGACCCUUAGAUGCUUCCCCAACCCAAAUUGAACCCUUCAAAGAAGUUCUUUUUCGGGUUCUCUAAGCAGUUAAUUUUCUAUAUAAUGUUGGGUUUCUCAAACGCUUUGAAUAUAAAUUAAAUUUAAAGCCAUUCCCAAUAACUGCUUUUGAAGUUUCCUGGGCAUUUAAUAUUCUAUAUUAUACUAAAACCUUCAAAUGCUGUCCCAACUGAAAUUUAAGCCCUUCUCGCAAGUUUUUUUUAUUUUAUUUUCCGGGGUUCUGAGGAGUUGAAAUUUCUAAAUUAUGUUGAAAUUUUUAAAUGCUUUUAAAUUACCGCCAAUUUUUUCCUUAGAUCUGUAUGUGUACAUUUGCUUGCGUGUGAGUGUGUGUGUGUGUUUGCAUGAAUGCAUGAAGGUUUGUAAUCUAUGAAGAUAGAAGUGUGUGUAUGAAGCUGUACGUAUGUAAAUGUGUACCUGUGGAUAUUCGGGUAUGAUUACUCCAAAUGUAGGAGUUUGUGCUAUGCGAGUAUGCUUAUAUGCAGGUACAUGCAUAUAUACAUACACAUACAUAUAUAUAUAUAUAUAUAUAUGGACACAUGGACACAGGAAAAGUGUGUCAAAGCCAUCAGGAGGCGUCGAUGCUUCCUAGGGCUAAACAGCGGUGGUGUACCCCCUACUGUCACGUUCGUGUUAGAUUGACAGUAUACAACCAUUCUAUAUAUAUAUAUAUAUAUAUAUAUAUAUAUAUAUAUUGUUUGUGCGCGCGCGCGUGUAAAUGCGUGUGCGCGUGUAAACUUAAGUGGUAGAUAUACAAACAUGGUUAACCAUUUCUUCGUAAAUUGGAAAAUGAUAAACAUCAUAAAUCGAUUUUCGAACCUCAUUAGGUUCUAAUCAGAGGUGUCUGUAUCGAUUUGACCGACCCCAGAGAAAGAUAGAUCGAUAGAUAGAUAGAUAGAUAGAUAGAUAGAUAGAUAGAUAGAUAGAUAGAUAGAUACAUACAUACAUACAUACAUACAUACAUACAUACAUAGACAGAUAGAUAGAUAGAUAGACAGACAGACAGACAGACAGACAGACAUACAUACAUACAUAGACAGAUAGAUAGAUAGAUAGAUAGAUAGAUACAUACAUACAUACAUACAUACAUACAUACAUACAUAGACAGAUAGAUAGAUAGAUAGAUAGACAGACAGACAGACAGACAGAUAGAUAGAUAGAUAGAUAGAUAGAUAGAUAGAUAGAUAGAUAGAUAGAUAGAUAGAUACACACAUAUAUACAUAUAUUGUACAUAUACAUACUCAUACACCAAUACAGGUACACACACACACACACACACACACACACACACACACAAUGAAGAUGGCUGAAUGUAAUAUAAAACCAAAAACGAAGAAUUCAGUCGUCACUAACAGAGACUGAGUGUGCAUUGUAGCACCUACAUUGCUAGAAAUAAGAGUCAAAGACCCUUGUAGCCACAAACAUAGCACAAGUCUAUGUACUGAUACGGGAGUUAACCACCCCAUACACUUAUACACUCAUACGUAUAUAAUUAUAAUACAUUUAUUUUACCAAAUUUGGACUUAUUCUUUAAUCGGAAGAGUUUUUAAAGCAUUUUUUAAUGUUUGAAUAUGGACCAUGGGGCUCCCUAACAAUACAAGUCUGUAUCUUAAUUGUGUACCCUAAACAGCGAACAUCGGGUGCCUAGCGGUUAGUGUGUUAAGCUUGCGAUCGUUCGGCCGUCAGUCAAGUUCUUGCAACGAGUGACGUGUUCUUGAGCAAGACACUUCGUUCCUCACUGCAUUAGUCCGCUCAGUUGACAAUGUGUAGCACUAAUAGUUGGAGGUUUUGAUCCUACGGCGGACAGACGUCCGUUUGAGGGAGGAGUCUUGCAAUGGCUCAAUGGCUUAGGGGCCUAGGAAAUACGAAAAUAUGCUACCGCAUAAUGAAUUUGAUGGCUUGAGAGAAGCCAGAAACAAGUUGUCUGUUUCGAAAAACGUUUAAGAUUCGAUGAUGACUAAAACAACAUCAUAUCAACUUUUAAUAAAGUAUUCAACCUCUUGCUGUACCCAAUAAAUUUAAUCCUGAAUCAAGACAAUAAGCCCUCAAUUAGGGCCAAAACACUAAGCCGCCAAGUGUGACCAAGACAUAACUCUCAACAAUGGCCAAAAUUCUCAAACCUAUUUUUUAAUGACCAAGGUACUUGACUCUAAAUUUUAACCAUGACAUUUAACCUUACUUUUGACCCCAAGACACUUACCUCUAAAUGGUAACCAAAACUUUUAACCCAAAUUAUACUUAAACAGUUAACCCUAACUUGUCCCCAAGUUUAACCACAAAUGUUAAUCAAGUCAUUUAAGCCUAAAUUGUUCCCAAAUCCCUUAAUCCUAAAUUGCCACCAAGACCUUAACCCUAAAUUGUCACAAAAAUAUUUAACCCUAAAUAGUGACCUACACCUUCAACCUUAAAUUAUGUCUAAAACAGUUAACCCUAAAUUAUCAUGAUGACAUCUAAUUGUGGCCAAGACAUUCACCCUAAAUUAUUAUAAAGACAUCUAAUUCUAAAUUGCAACCUAGACAGUAAACCCUAAAGGGUCACCAAGACAUUUGACCCUCAAUUGUGUCCAAGACAUUAAACCCUACUCCGUGAUCAAAUACCAUAACCCAGAAUUGACAGUUAACCAUAAUUUGUGACCGGUUAGCCUUAAAACGUGACGAAAUCAUUUAACCCUCGGCGCUGUCCCAGGCACUUAAACCUAAAUCGUGACCAAGUCACUUAACCUUCACUUGUGAGCAAGACAGCAAAUUCUAAAUUGCAAUGGGGACAUUUAACCCUAUGGCUUUUAACCCAAAAUUUUAGCUAAGCCGCUUAACUCUCAGCUAUGACAAAACACUCAACGUUUGAUCUAAGCGCCACCUAAGUGGUUGAAUAUUCCAUAGACAUGAGUACCAUUAAUGUAACUCUCCCGUGGAAUCAUCUUCAUAAAACCCAUGGCAAUGCUGGGUAUUUGAAUUGCAGAUACAAUCGUUCCAACGAGCUUUGGAGGUAGAUUUUCGUUUCCCCAAUUUCACUUAUGAAAUUUACUUAUCCGGGGGCUAAUGGUAAAACGCAUUUGCCUAAGGUACGAGGCGAUGGUAUCGAACCCGGCUACCUCGUGACUGCGAAGCCAAACUUUUAACCGCUUCACUAUGCAUUGCUAAAUUGCGCACACAAGUGACUGCAUGUGUCCCUUUCUGUAGAAGAGCGUAGGCUCGAAACGUAAAAACCUUUUUCUAUUCCUGAGCGUUAUACUAAUACAUCUGUUUGUUUUGUGCACCACCUGUCUUCGUCUUUUGCUUUUUUCGUAAACUCUCCCUAUAUAUAUAUAUAUAUAUAUAUAUAUAUAUAUAUAUAUAUAUAUAUAUAUAUAUAUAUAUAUAUCAGAUGUAUAUAUUUCUUUUGUUUGUUUCAGUCAUUAAGCUGUGGCCAUGCUGGGGCACUUUUGUUAAGGCCUAAUAGUUAUUCCAUCGGUUUCCCUUGCCGAACCGCAAUCUCACGGGAGGACCUAAACACACCAAAACUGGUUGUCAAGCGUUGGUGUGGAACAAACGCCGGCACAAAAAUCACACGCGCUCGCGCGCACAUUUAUGUGUGUAUGUGUAUACACAUGUUUGUGUGUGUGUGUGUGUUUUUGUGCUAUCCUUACGACCGCUUGACAACUGGUGGUUUCAGUCCCCGUGACAGAAUAAGGGCCAGAUCUUAUAAAAUUCGGGUCAGUUUAUGCGAUUAAGAAUCCUUCUAGGUGGUGCCCCAGCAUGGCCGCUCACAGUUCCAAUAACCAAAGAGUGAAGCAGGUAAAAUCAUAAAACAUAUAUAAGAUAACAUGUAUCUGUGUGCGCCUAUGGGUGUGUGCUUUUGUAUGUGUGUGUUUGUGCAUGUUUGUGUGUGUUUGUAUUUGUGUGUGUGCGUAUGUGUAUGCGCCUGUGCGCGUGUGUUUGCAUGUGUGUGUGCGCGUGAGUUUGUCUUCAUGUGUGUGUGUGUGUGUGUCUACGUGCGCGUGUGUGUUUGUGAGCUUGUUUGUGUGUGCGAGUGUGUGUGUAUAUAUAUAUACAUGACUGUUUGUGUGUGUGUGUUUUGCCUAUCUGCGCGUGUGUAUGUAUGAUUGCAUGAGUGUGUGCGUGUGCUCCUGUAUUUGUAUAUACGUGUGUGUGCGUGUAUGCGUGUCUGCGUGUUUGUGUGUAUGAGUGUAUGUACGUGUGUGUUUGUGUGUGCGCGUGUAUUUGUAUGUACGUGUGUGUGUGUGUGUGUUUGUGCGUGUUUGUGUGUGUGUGUGUGUGUGUGUGUGUGUGUGUGUGUGUGUGUGUGUGUGUGUUUGUAUGUACGUGUGUGCGUGUGUGUGUAUGUACGUGUGUGUGUGUGUGUGUGUGUGUUCGUGUGUGUGUGUGUGUGUGUGUGUGUGUGUGUACGUGUGUGUGCGUGCGUGCUUAUAUCAGAUUCUGCAUUAUUGAGGGGGUGAAUAGAGGUUUGAAAGCUAAUAUGCCAAUCGUCGUACCUGGAAACCUGCAAACAGUUCUGGUCAUAAGACUUCAUUUGUGAUAUUAUUAUCAGCUCCUGUGAGAGUCAGAGGAAGAGGAAAGAGGAAGGAGGAGGAAGGAGGAGGAGGAAUUACAGAAAUAGAGAGAGAGAGAAAGUGAAGAUAGAGCGAGAGAGGUGUAGAGCAGCAACAUGGGAGCGAGGGGGAAGAGGCGGGGUGAGAGUUCAUGACGUUAUUGAAUGGCACGUGAUUUUCGGUUACCGUCUAUGGAACACACUAUCAUAUAUAUGUAUGUGUGCUGUGUGUGUGUAAUAUGUAUGUAUGUACAUAUGUAUGUAUGUAUGAUAUAUAUAUAUGUAUGUAUAUUAUACAUAUACAUAUAUAUAUAUAUAUAUAUAUAUAUAUAUAUAUAUACAUAUAUAUAUAUAUAUAUACAUAUAUAUAUGCGUGUGUGUGUGUGUAUGUAUGUAUAUAUGUAUGUAUGAAUAUAUAUAUGUAUACUUAUAUAAAAUUAUAUAAGUGGCUAUAGGCGCAGGAGUAGCUGGGUGGUAAGUAGCUUGUUUACCAACCACAUGGUACCGGGUUCAGUCCCACUGCGUGUCAUCUUGGGCAAGUGUCUUGCACUAUAACCUCGAGCCGACGACCAAAGCUUUGUGAGUGGAUUUGGUAGACGGAAACUGAAAGAAGCCCAUCAUAUAUAUGUGUGUGUGUGUGUGUGUGCGUGUGUGUGUGUGUGUGUGUGUGUGUGUCUAUGUUUGUGUUCCCACCAUCGCUUGACAACCGAUGUUGGUGUGAUCACGUCCCUGUAAAUUAGCGGUUCGGCAAAGGAGACCGAUAGAAUAAGUACUGCGCUUACAAAUAAUAAGUUUUGGAGUCGAUUUGUUCGACUAAAGGCGAUGCUCCAGCAUGGCCGCAGUCAAAUGACUGAAGUAAAAGAAUAAAAGAAUAUAUUUUUACAUUUAAAUUUAUGCAGACAAACAGACAGACAAAUAGAUACAUACAUACAUCUAUAGAUAUGUAUAUAUACACACACACAAACAUAUAUAUACAUAUAUAAAUCAUGGGGAGAGGCUAAAAAACUGAAAAGAACGCCAAGAAAUCACACAUACGCACACACACACACACACACACACACACACACACACACGUGUGUGUGUACGUAUAUAUGUAUGUGUACAUAUGCGUAUAUGUAUGUUUAUAUGUACGUGUGGUUUAUAUAUGUAGAUAUAUAAAGUACAACAGCAUAAACUUAUACGAAAGUUAUAUCAGUGAAUUGGAAAUAUAUGUGUGUAUAACUAUGUAUAUAUGUAUGUAUGUAUGUAUGUAUGUAUGUAUGUAUGUAUGUAUGUAUGUAUGUAUGUAUGUACGUCUGUAUGUAUGUAUGUAUGUAUGUAUGUAUGUACGUAUGUAUGUAUGUAUGUAUGUAUGUACGUACGUAUGUAUGUAUGUAUGUAUGUAUGUAUGUAUGUAUGUAUGUAUGUACGUAUGUAUGUAUGUAUGUAUGUAUGUAUGUAUGUACGUAUGUAUGUAUGUAUGUAUGUAUGUAUGUAUGUAUGAAUGAGUGUGUAUGUAUGUGUGUGUGCGUAUAUGUAUGUAUGUAUGUAUGUAUGCGUGUAUGUAUGUAUGUGUGUAUGUAUAUAGAUAGAUAGAUAUACUGUUAUGAAGAUGGUCAAUCUAACAUUAUUGAUCAUAAUAAUAAUAUCAUCAUCAUCAUUAUCAAUAUCAUCUUCAUUAUUAUUACAAUUAUUACAACUUUCUGCACACACAUAUGCAUAUACACACGAUACACACGCAUUUAUAUAUAUAUAUAUAUGUCCACAUAUAUGCAUAUAUAUAUACAUAUAUAUACAUAUAUAUACAUAUAUAUAUAUACAUAUAUAUAUACAUAUAUAUAUAUAUAUAUAUAUAUAUAUAUAUAUAUAUAUAUAUAUAUAUAUAUACAUGUAUACAUACAUACACACGCACAUAUAUACAUAUAUAUGCAGCUGUUACUCCAAAAACGUUUUCAUUCCGUUUCUUCCCCCACCGCCCUCUUCCUCCAUCCGUUUCCUUUCCUCAUUCCUUUCUGCUGAAGAGCUUAGGCUCGAAACGUCAAACAUUUCUCCCAUUUUUCCUAAGUGUCAGACAAUUAACACCUUGUUUUCGUUCCUUCACCUGUGGAUUGUAUUUUGCUUUAUAUUGUUCGUUUUGUGCAAUUUUGAACCAUAUAUGUGUGUCUGUGUGUGUGCGUUUACGUAUACACACAUGCAUACACUCAUGCAUAUAUACAUAUGUACAUUCUAUAUACAUGCUUCAAUAUAUACAUACAUACACACACACACUCAUACAUACAUAUGUACAUAGAUACGUACAGACACACACACACACACAUAUAUGAGUAUAUAUAUGUAUAUAUUUAUAUAUAUAUAUAUAUAUAGACACAUAUAUAUAUAUACGCAUCAUGCGCAUACACACUCACACACAUGGACAUGUAUAGUGUAUUCAAGUGUGUGUAUGUGUGCGCGUGCGUGUAUGGGUAUAUAUGUAUGUCUAUGUAUAUAUAUAACUAUAAGUAUGCAUGCAAGCACGUAUGUGUGAGAGUGCGUAUGCAUAUGUGUGUAUAAAUAUAUAUAUAUAUAUACACGCACACACACACACACACAUAUAUAUAUAUGUAUAUAUAUAUAUAUAUAUAUAUAUAUAUAUAUAUAUAUAUAUAUAUAUAUAUACAUACAUACACACACACACACAUAUAUUCAAGUGCGCAUGACGGAAAGUAAAAACCAAUUCUGUGGAAGCUGCUGUAUAUCGCCAAAAGGAAGUAAAUCACAUGACUGCGUUGACUGAGACGAAUCACUAUUUAUUAAUUCUCACCGCAGAAAGACAAAUAAUGGCGAGUAACAGUGUUAAGAUGGCGGCGAUAGCGGUGACGGUGGCGGUGGCGGUGGUGGUGGUGGUGGUGGUGGUGGUGGUUGUACCUUCUGUGUGUGUGUAUGUUCGAAUGCAUGAAUGCGUGCGUGUGUGUGUUUAUUAUAUAUAUUUAUUUACGCACACAUACAUAUAAACAUAUAUAUAUAUAUGUAUGUAUGUAUAUAUAAUAUUACAUACAUAUAUAUACAUGUAUAUAUAUAUAUGCUUACAUACAUAUAAACAUAUAUAUAUAUAUGUAUGUAUGUAUAUAUAAUAUUACAUACAUAUAUAUACAUGUAUAUAUAUAUAUGCUUAUAUAUAUAUAUAUAUAUACAUAUAUAUAUAUAUACAUGCAUACAUAUAUAUACAUAUACAUGUAUAUAUGUGUGUAUAUAUAUAUAUAUAUGAUUAUAUGUGAAUAUAUAUAUACGUGUGUUCAUAAAUAUAUGCCUUAUAUAUAUAUAUAUAUGUAUGUAUAAAAAAUAUAUGAGUGUAUAUAUGUGCAUAUAUAUGUAUAUGUGUGUGUGUGUGUACAUCUCUGUGUAUAUGCGCGUAGUUUUCUAUGUGUCGGUGUAUAUGUGAGUAAAGUACCUACAGUUAAAUGAAUAUUUAAGUACUUAAAGUAUAGGAAUAUAUAUACUAUCCCCUGGUAUGCUAGCCUGAUGUUAUUAUAUAUAUCAUGUAUUAUAUAAUAUGUAUAUCGCUGAGGUCGACUUUGCCUUUCAUCCUUUUGGUGUCGAUAAAUUAAUUGAUAUGUACGUUUUAGUUGUAGAAAAAAAAACGCAAAGAACAAAUGAAACCCUAACAACAGUUGUUAGAAACAGAACAGGGGAGAUAAUUUCUAAAAAUUAAAAAUUUAUCAGUUAAUUUACAAGAUUAUGAAACAGCUUGACUUUUGUAUUCAGGCAUAGGGGACAAUUAUGGACCUGUUUCGGUCUAGUAGACCUCAUCAGUAUAGUAUAUUUAUAUUGAGUUAAAACCAAUGCAUCAUCAGCUAAACUCAAGAAGGCCUUUCUAUAAACCAGCGAAAUAAAACAUCAAAAGAUGAAUGGAGGAAACACUCUCCCCAGCUGGGCACCGACGAAGUGCACUCCGAUUUUUAUUAUCUACCUAAAUACAUAGGCCAUAGGCAAAUUGACAAAAAACGGGACACAACGGAAGAGAAACACUGGACGACCUACAUCAGUGACCUUAUUGCCGAUCCCCUAUAUAUUCAGCAAGUGAGGUAUCGUCACAACAUGCAAAACCACCUCAUGUUACACUGGUUGUCUCAUUUCGAUCUUGAGAGAGUGUGAAAUGAUCCAUGAAGCUCCAUGAAGCUCACGAGGUAUACAUCAACUGGCGCUUGAAUGCGCCUUUGGCGGUAUGAGAUUCACUAUACGGAAUAUCAACUACAGUAAACAGCCGUUCAUAAUACCUUUCUAAUUUUGCCACAAGGUCAACAAUUUUAAGGAGAGGAGAAAGCCGAUUAUAUCGACCCCAGUUCUCAAUUGGUACAUAUUUUAUCGACCUCGAACGGAUUAACAGUAAAGUCGAUCUUGGCGGCAUAUGAACUGAGAACGUAAUGCCUGAAGAAAAACCGGUAAGCAUUUUGUGAGAUGUGCGGACGAUUCUACCAGUUCGCUGCCUUAUGAUAAUAAUAAUAAUAAUAAUAAUAAUAAUAAUAAUAAUAAUAAUAAUAAUAAUAAUAAUAAUAAUAAUAAUAGUAAUAAUAAUAAUCCUUUCUAAUAUAGACACAAGGACCUGAAAUUUGGGAAGGGGGAUAGUCGAUUACAUCGACCCCAGUGUUCGACUGGUACUUAUUUUAUCGACCCCAAAAGGAUGAAAUGCAAAGUCGGCCUCGGCGGAAUUUGAAAUCGGAGCGUUAAAACGGACGAAGGACCGUUAAGAAUUUUUCUCGGUGUGCUAACAAUUCUGCCAACUGACCACCUUAAUAAUAAUAAUAAUAAUAAUAAUAAUAAUAAUAAUAAUAAUAAUAAUAAUAAUAAUAAUAAUAAUAAUAACAAGUACUGCCCACAUCCUUAGAAAAAGCCUAUCAAUGUAAAUAUUUGUGUUGUAUUACAUGAAGAUAUUUCUCUACUUCCCCUCCCAAGCUUUCAGCUAUAUUUUCAACAACUCUUAACCUUCACUUGCCCUAGGGCGCUGGGUGUGCCCCGGCAAGUGAUUGCAUCAAACACGCAGAUUAAAAGUAAAUGACAAUAAUAAUAAUAAUAAUAAUAAUAAUAAUAAUAAUAAUAAUAAUAAUAAUAAUAAUAAGUGGGGGAGCAUCAUAGCCAUGUGUUGAGAGGGAUUCUUUGGGGUUUGAAUAAUUCACCGUUGGAAACAUGGGUGGUUCUUUCAACAUCCUUAAACAACCCUUAUUCAGGGACCUUUUGAGCGGGAUGGGCUACUCAACCAGAAGAAAAUUCUAACUGGGCCCCACCUGCAAGGUCAUGCGCUGUUUAUCUUGAUAUGAGAUCACCAUGUCACGCACAUAUGGUUGUGAUGCAUGUGCCUGGUGUACCUUUAUCAGACGGGUAGUCAUGAGGGGUAUAUUGGGCUUCGUAUAUUUUACCCCAGUGUCACUUUGAUGGCAUGAACUGCUCUCUCACUCAAUAAUAAUAAUAAUAAUAAUAAUAAUAAUAAUAAUAAUAAUAAUAAUAAUAAUAAUAAUAAUAAUAAUAAUAAUAAUAAUCUGAUGGCAACAGAAUCAAUGUGAAAGAAGAAGGAAAAAAUAAACAACUAUGACAACAUAAAGAGUGAAAUACGAAGGUUGUGGUCAAUGAAGAGAGCAGACGUGAUACCUUUAGUAAUUGGAGCACUUGGAAGUAUCAGCACUCAACUACCAACUUGGCUGGAAAAGAUUGGUGCAAGGGUGAAGGUAGAACACCUACAAAAAUCAGCAUUGCUUGGAGCUGCAAGAAUUCUUCACAAAGUUCUUGAAGCAUGACCAGUAAACAAGUGUCACCUUAGUCUGCUGGUUGUGGACAGCUGACACUUUCCGUCAUACCCAGCAAAAUAAGCUGUGAGUUUUCAUAAUAAUAAUAAUAAUAAUAAUAAUAAUCCUUUCUAAGAUAGACACAUGGCCUGAAAUUUUGAGGGAGGAGACUAGUCGAUUACAUCGACCCCAGUGUGUUACUGGUACUUAAUAAUAAUAAUAAUAAUAAUAAUAAUAAUUUUCGUAUGUUUUAUUUUAGACAUUCGCUAGUACAACACCAAAUACAAAACCAAAUUUAUGGCACACUAGGCAUAACAACAACAUGAACUUCCAACCUGUUGUCUCUUGAGGUCUCUGGGUGAGACUUGGAACCAACUUGUACAAAUGUAAAGCAAAAGUCAAAUAUAUAAUAAUAACAAUAAUAAUAAUAAUAAUAAUAAUAAUAAUAAUAAUAAUAAUAAUAAUAAUAAUAAUAAUAACAAUAAUAAUAAUAAUAAUAAUAAUAAUAAUAAUAAUAAUUAUAAUAAUAAUAAUAAUAAUAAUAAUAAUAAUAAUAAUAAUAAUAACAAUAAUAAUAAUAAUAAUAAUAAUAAUAAUAAUAAUAAUUAUAAUAAUAAUAAUAAUAAUAAUAAUAAUAACAAUAAUAAUAAUAAUAAUAAUAAUAAUAAUAAUAAUAAUAAUAAUAAUAAUAAUAAUUUUAAUAAUAAUAAUAAUAAUAGAUCCAUUUGGGAGCUCUGUGGAAAUGACGGCCUAGAAAGAGCAAAGACGUGGUUUGAACAAAACCCCAGAAAGGGUCACCGAAAAUGAGAACUGCAAAAUCCUGUGGGAUGCAAUGGUCCAGUGUGAUCACCUGACCAGAGAUAGGAAACUGGACAUUGUUGUGGUGAAUGAAAAAGAAAGAACAUGUAUGAUUAUCGAAGGGAGAAAUCAAUAACAUCGGCCUAGAGAUCAACUGGUACUUCUUUCAUCGACCCUUAAAGGAUGACAGGCAAAGUCGACCUCGGCGGAACUUGAACCCAGAACGUAAAAACGGACGAAAUUCAACCAAGCAUUUUGUCCGGCAUGCUAACGCUUCUACCACCUGCCUUCGUCCAUAAUAAUAAUAAUAAGGGUUUCGAAUUUUGGCACAGGGACGACAAUUUCGUGGGAGAGGAUAAACCGAUUACACAGACCCCAGUACACAACUGGUACUUAUUUUACCGACCCCGAAAGGAUGAAAGGCAAAGUCGACUCCGGUGGAAUUUGAACUCGGGACAUAAGGAUGGAUGAAAUGCCGCUAAACAUUUAGGGAGAGGAAAAAAAAUCGAUCAAUAGGGAUCGUGUAUCACAGUGUCAUGAUGUACGGUGUAAAGGGGAAAGCAGAUAAGGUUUAUUCGUGGGAAGAAAAGCCUACGAAAAAGACCACGGUAACCUCGGUCAAUAUUGUUAUAUGUUACCACAUUUGUUUGCAAGUGGGUAACCCUCUGUUUUCAAUUUCUGGGUUCAUAGGAUUAUGCUCAAGGUGGCUUCGUCAUUCAUACGUGCCAUCCUUGCUACAUUCACCCAUCUUUUUUUUAAACGUUCGCUAGACAAAACUUGCCUCUCUACUCUCACUUUCCUUUUCAAGUGGUACUUGAAGAAGUUGAUGAGAGAUUGACCAGAGAGGAAAGUGUUUGUCUCCAAUCCUUUCAGACGCGUCCACCAGAUACAUUCCGUCGCCAUAGCCACAAGGAUGAUGAAAAUAGCUCUUCCUUCCCGUUUGAAGGAAGGAGGCGUGACAAUAUUGACGAUAGACUCGGCUGAUAAACCGACUCGUCCCACACGUGACAGCAGUUGUUCGAGAUAAAUUAGAUAGAUAGAUAGAUAUACUUAUAUUUGCAUAUAUAUAUAUUUGUGUGUGUAUGAGUAUAUACGUAUGUAUGUAUAUAUGUACGUAUGAGUAUAUACGUAUGUAUAUAUAAAUAUAUGAACGCCAACACACACGCACACACACACAUACACACACAUACAUACACACACACAUACACACACACACACAUACACACACACGGUAGAAUGUACAUGAAUAAUACCCUAAAAUACCUUAGAGGGAUUGACUCCAGAAAACUAAAGAAAAUAACAACACCGUUGCUAUCUUAACCGGAAGUUACACACCGACAUCAUGAGUAUUGCUAUUGUUUACUGUGAUGGUGGAAACAUAUUGUGAUGCUGUGGCUUAGAUGCAAAUCUGAAUAAAGUAUACAGUGACAAUUGGGAGUUUCAAUAUUUUAGAAAUAAUCUAAUUUAAUAAUUUUAGAUUAUUAAUUCAUUGAUUGCAAAUUUUGGCCCAAGGCCAGUCAGUUCAGGGGAAGGGUUAACACGUACUUGGGUUAUUGACCUCGAAAGGAUGAAAGGCAAAGACAACCUCCGCGGAAUUUGAACUCACAACGUAUAGACGGAUGAAAUACCUAUUUCUGUUACUACCCACAAGGGGCUAAACAUAGAGGGAACAAACAAGGACAGACAAAGGGAUUAAGUCGAUUAGAUCGACCCCAGUACCUGGUACUUAUUUAAUCGACCCCGAAAGGAUGAAAAGCAAAGUCGACCUCGGCGGAAUUUGAACUCAGAACGUAGCGGCAGACGAAAUACCGAUAAGCAUUUCGCCCGGCGUGCUAACGAUUCUACCAGCUCGCCGCCUAAGAUUAUUAAAUUAUUAAAUUAAUUUUUAAAAAUAAUUUAAUUAAUGCAGGGUAGACUUAGAUAUGUUAAGUCUUCUUCGAAGUAACAAGAUCAUGGGUUCGAAGUUUAUCAGGAUUUCUACGAAGAUUCGAAAAACUAACAGCACAAAACUCACACCUGGAUAGGACACAAGCUCACCCCAGGAUUAACUCCCUGCCCUAUACGGCUGCACUACAUCGUCUCUGACGAAGGCACCGGAAAGCAAACUAGAUGGAAGAACAUACGCAAGAAUUCUGAAAGUAGCACUUAACAUCAAAUGGCAGUUUUAUAAAGCAAACCAGAUUUUUUUAUGGUAAUCUUCUAAGAAUAACCUCCACCCCAAAGGGACGAAGUCUGAGAUUCUGUGGAUACUUCUUUCGUAGCAAGAGUAGGUCGAUAGAUGUGUACAUAUAUGUACAUCCAUAUAUCCAUCCAUCCAUCCAUCCAUUCAUCCAUCCAUCCAUACAUCCAUACAUACAUACAUACAUACAUACAAAAAAAAACUCGUUGUUGAUGUUGAAAUUCCAAUGAAGGAGCCUUGGAUCUAGGUUAGAAACCGGUUCUUUCUCUCUUGUCAAGAAACCUUGAAAUAAAACUGAAAAAUGACAUAUAUACAUACAUUACAAUAACUAAUAUAUAAUUCUUUUAUUUGGGGGGGUAGGUUCUGGAGACUAUUUUGAUCAUAUUUUGGUCUUAUUCUGACCUCAUCAAAGAAGUACCUAUUUCACUUCCCUAAACAUGCCCAUGACAACCCGAAACAAGUAACUAUAUGGAUAGGGGCAGCGUAAAAGUUAAUCUUUAUAUUUACCCGCUCCCGAUUUCACGAUGGAGGGAGCGAGUUCCAUUGGUGGUGGGUCCUUAUAAAAAAAAGAACUUACAUAAACAAACCUAAAUAUUUCAGGAACUGCAGAAUAAUGUAGUACAAGAAAAUAGGGCAUUGGCUACAUUUGUAUCACGGAGCCAAAUAUAAGAGCUAUUCGCAGAACGCUCUGAAUCAGAUUGGAUGGUCAUGUUCAGUCCUUCUAUUUAUCUAUUUGAUUCAUUUUUGGAGAUGUGAUUUCGUGUGACACGGACAGCCUUCAAAUUUUUCAGUCUAAAAGGGUUUUCCAACUCAUUUUUUCAAACUUCUAUACUCUUUACUCUCUCUCUUUUACUUGUUUCAGUCAUUUGACUGCGGCCAUGCUGGAGCACCGCCUUUAAUUGAGCAACUCGACCCCGGGACUUAUUCUUUUGUAACCCCAGUACUUAUUCUAUCGGUCUCUUUUGCCGAACCGCUAAGUAACGGGGACAUAAACACACCAGCAUCGGUUGUCAAGCAAUGCUAGGGGGACAAACACAGACACACAAACACACACACGCAUAUAUAUAUAUACAUAUAUACGACGGGCUUCUUUCAGUUUCCGUCUACCAAAUCCACUCACAAGGCUUUGGUCGGCCCGAGGCUAUAGUAGAAGACACUUGCCCAAGGUGCCACGCAGUGGGACUGAACCCGGAACCAUGUGGUUGGUAAACAAGCUACUUACCACACAGCCACCCCUGUGCCUAUGUAUAACUCUGGCGUCUAUGUAUAGCUUUAUGUGUGAUUCGAGACCCACUAUUCUAAAAGAGAAUCAUUUCACGCUCAAUCGAAAGUAUAUAAAAUUCUUAUGGGUUGAAUUGGGUUGCCCAGCUUCAAUCCACUCCAGGAUGAAGGCCAUAGCAUGUUCUCUCCAUGAAUUUGAACUUGAGAUCAUACUGGUCUGAUGAACUUACUCUGUCACACUGACUCGCCAGAUAGAUGCAGAUUGUUUUUAUUCUUCACCAGGUGUAGGUAAGUCGAUUACAUCACCCGCAGUACUCAACCGGUACUUUUAUUUUAAUCAAACCAGGAAUGGUUCAAAGCAGGCCUGGCCAACUCGAAUUACAAUGUGGGCCACUUUAAUCACAAAAAGUUUAUUGAGGGCCGCUUGUAUACUGACAGAAAUGAAAACAUUUCGCUUUCUCAUGCAAUUAUUACAAUAAUGAAUGAAUGAUCGUUGGUUCAAAAUUUUACAUUAAAUUUAAUUUAAUUUAAUUUAAUUUAUUUAAAUUUUAUUUGUAUUAAACUAUUUGCUAUAUUCCUAUUGUGAAACAAAUAAAAUAAGUAUCCACAAUAUUUUUUCUCCUUUUAGUUAUAGUAAUAAUUAUAUAUAUAUGUGUAUAUACAUACAUAUAUAUAUAUACAGAUAUAUAUUUAUUUAUUUAUAUAUAUAUGUAUAUGUAUGUAUGUAUACUCUUUACUUUUUUACUAGUUUCAGUCAUUUGACUGCGGCCAUGCUGGAGCGCCGCCUGUAGUCGAGCAAAUCGACCCCCAGGACUUAUUCUUUGUAAGCCUAGUACUUAUUCUAUCGGGCGCUUUUGCCGAACCGCUAAAUUACGGGGGGACGUAAACACACCAGCAUCGGUUGUCAAGUGAUGAUGGGAGGGGGGACAAACACAGACACACAAACAUAUACACACACAUACAUAUAUACAUAUACAUAUAUACGACGGCUUCUUUUCAGUUUCCAUCUACCAAAUCCACUCACAAGUAUUUGGUCGGCUCGAGGCUAUAGUAGAAGACACUUGCCCAAGGUGCCACGCAGAGAGACUGAACCCGGAACCAUGUGGUUGGUAAGCAAGCUACUUAACACACAUCCACGUAUAUGUAUAUAUAUAUAUAUAUAUAUAUAUAUAUGUAUAUGUUUGUGUAUAUGUCUAUAUAUAUAUAUAUAGUGUCGGCAAAUAGAAAAAUUUCCAUAUUUUACCAACGUGUCAAUCUGUUGCCGACUCCCACCGAUUCUGACUGUAGGAAAAUACCAUCUACCCCAUUCCACCGCCACCCUUUUUUACCCUUUUAUUCUUGCCCUUCUACACCCCGUCCCCUCCUGCUAUGUACCCGUAACAACUUACAUCAUAUUGUCACACCAAUAUGACAAAGACCAGGGGCGUGAAUUCUGAUUAAACAGUUCUUUAUAUCUUAACAUGAUAGCCACGACUGGAAUGCUCUCCUGGAUCAUACACCUACUCAUUCUCAUUCAGAGUUUACCUAUGGUUAAACAACAACAACAACAGCAGCAGCAGUGGAGGCGCAAUGGCCCAGUGGUUAGGGCAGCGGACUCGCGGUCGGAGGAUCGCGGUUUCGAUUCCCAGACCGGGCGUUGUGUGUGUUUAUUGAGCGAAAACACCUAAAGGCUCCACGAGGCUCCGGCAGCGGUGGGGGAGGCGACCCCUUUUGUACUCUUUCGCUCCAACUUUCUCUCACUCUUUCUUCCUGUUUCUUGUCCCCGACUUCCUACGCAACCGCUGAGCCCUGAUGCGCAUUCAUCCAUCUGUCGAUGCUGCCGGUGUCGGGGGUUGACCUGCUUUCUCUUCUGCGGGUCUUACGAAUAGCAAAGGACCACGUUUCGGACUUCUCCCUCUACGGACGAAGACCGCUUCGCUCAACAAACAAACAAACAAACAAGCAACAGCAGCAGCAACAGCAGCUAUAAUUAAUCUUAGUUCCUCUCUUAAAGAUGGCGUAUACAUUGGACAGGCAGACGUCUCCAAUAAUCCCAGCUUUGUUCAUAGUUAUCUGCAUCUUCCCAAAUAAUGCUAAGUUGCUUCAGAUCUUCGUUGAAGAUUGGUGCGCCAUGUCUUUUUGGGUUUCCCUCUCUUCCUUCACCUCUCUGGUGCUUCCCAUUCACGAAAUCGAUUACAUCUUCCCAGGUGAUGCUGAUAUGCUUAAGAUCUUUGAAAGCAUCACGCCAUGUAUUCUUGGGUCUCCUUCCCUUCCUUCAUCCCUCUGGUGCUUCCCAUUAACAUAGUCACUUAAAUCUUCCCAGCUGAUGCUAAAAUACUUGAGACCUUUUUUGAAAGGACGACACUUUCAACACAUCUUAUAAAGUUUUUUAAAAUCUUGUAAAGUCUAAUAUAUUCUUUUGUAGUCUUACACCAUCUUAUAAAUAUUUUAUUUUGCAAUAAAAAUACUUACUGCGGAGAAUUUUUGAACACCCUGUAUAUAUAUAUAUAUAUAUAUAUAUAUAAAGGGAAAGUUUACAAAAAUAAACAAAAGACGAAGGCAGGUAGAGUACAAACAAACAAAUGUAUUAGUAUAGCGCUCAGGAAUAGAAAAAGUCUUUAACGUUUCGAGCCUACGCUCUUCGACAGAAAAGGACACAGACAAAAAACAAGGAGAGAGAAAAACGCGUGUAUAUAUAUAUAUAUAUGAAAAUCAAAGAAAAAGAGGAUACCUAUGGACAAUAGCUUCGAAACCUCCAGCUUCUCUAUCCAGACUAUGAAUUCAUAUUCAUACCAAUAAUAAUUGGAACACUAGGUUUUGUUAGUAAAUGCUAAAAGGAGAAUCUAGAUAAACUGGGAUUUUCAGAAAGAGAAAUCGACCGGCUGAUUCGUAUAUUACAAGUCCAAUCAGUAAGUGGAACAGUAAAAAUAUGCAAAACUUUUCUCAAGUUCCAAAUGUGAAUUUGUGUUAACUACAACCCAAAGAGGGAGCCUUGUAUCUUUGUUGGAAACCGGCUCCCUCCACAGUGGAUGAUUUAUAAUAAUAUAAAAAUAGGAUACAUACAUACAUUCAUACAUACAUACAUACAUACAUACAUACAUACAUACAUACAUACAUACAUACAUACAUACAUACAUACAUACAUGCAGGCGUGCAUGCAUACAUGCAUACAUACAUACAUGCAAAGACAGAGGUGGGAUAAAAGAGUAAACUCCUUAGAACUUUUGACAUAAUGUUUUGGUAUCUGUUGCGGUCCACUGUGCCGUGAGUUCAAAUACCGCCGCAGACAUCGUAUGCAUUUCAUUCUUUCACAGCAAAUAACUACAGCAAUUGGAAUGCACGGAUCGAUACAUCCUCUCACCACCCAUACCAUGCUCUCUCACAUCCCUCCUUCUCACACACACACACUCUCUCUCUCUCUCUCUCUCUCUCUCUCUCUCUCUCUCUCUCUCUCUCUAUCAAUCUAUCUAUCUAUCUAUUUAUCUAUCUGUCUCUCUAUUUAUAUAUCUCACGCGUACUCUGUCGCGAAAUCGGUCGCCGUCAGUUCAACUUAGGGUCACCUUCUGCCAGAUUUUAGAAGCCCAUGAUAUAUUCUUUGUCACCAGAGCGCUGUCACAAAUCAUUACAAGUACAGGGCCUACUAAAGGAGACACAGAUACGUGUAUGUGUGCGUGUGAAUGUGCAGAUACACACACACACUUAUUUAACGCAUAUG